rnacentral:rRNA from 1 species
GACGAACGCUGGCGGCGUGCUUAACACAUGCAAGUCGAGCGGAAAGGCCACUUCGGUGGUACUCGAGCGGCGAACGGGUGAGUAACACGUGAGUAAUCUGCCCUUGGCUUUGGGAUAGCCACCGGAAACGGUGAUUAAUACCGGAUAUGACCACUUCACGCAUGUGAUGGUGGUGGAAAGUUUUUCGGCCAGGGAUGUGCUCGCGGCCUAUCAGCUUGAUGGUGAGGUAAUGGUUCACCAUGGCUUCGACGGGUAGCCGGCCCGAGAGGGUGACCGGUCACGCUGGGACUGGGACACGGCCCAGACUCCUACGGGAGGCAGCAGUGGGGAAUAUUGGACGAUGGGCGGAAGCCUGAUCCAGCAACGCCGCGUGAGGGAUGACGGCCUUCGGGUUGUAAACCUCUUUCGCCUAUGACGAAGCGCAAGUGACGGUAAUAGGUAAAGAAGCACCGGCCAACUACGUGCCAGCCGCCGCGGUAAAAC